rnacentral:lncRNA from 10 species
GGAAAUCUGUGGAUAUGUGCUAGGAAUAAGGUACAUAUUUGCAUAAAGUGCCAAAGCUGGGAAGUAUGAGGAGGGAGUGAGAAUGGCACAAGAGGUCUGGCUUUCUGACGAUGUAACUGUCUCUCUGUGUACAGUCUCACCCACUGGUCUCCUUCUGUAACUCUCUUCUAAGAUUUCUCAUUUGUCACAGCUACAUGAGAAUCACAUAUCUUGUCUGCCUCACACCCCCAUUCUAUGCCAUGGAAUGUGGACAGGAGAAACAACAAAAGGAAAGAAGUUCUCAAGGACAGCAUCAAGACGUGUGGAAAUAGGCAUGUUUUACAACCCCAAAUGUGGCCUGCCUUGCUGAAUAUUCCAUGUGAGCCUGAGAAGAAGGUGCGGUCAGCUGUUGGUGGAUAAAGUAGACUACAAAUAUCCGUUAUAUCCAGUUGAUUGAUGAUUGUGUUAUGUUCAACUACGUCCUAACUGAUCUUCUGCCUUCUGGAUCUGUUCAUUUCUGACAGAGGAGUGUUGAAUUCUUCAACUAUAAUAUUGGAUUCAUCUAUUUCUCCUUGCAGUUCUGUCAAUUUUUGCCUCACCUAUUUUUAUGCCCUGUUGUUAGACAUAUACACAUUAAAGAUUGUUAUGUCCUCUUGGAGAAUGAAUCGUUUAUCACAAUGUAAUAAUGUUUUUAAAAUUUCCAUUUUAGAUUCAGGGGUACAUGUGCAGGUUUGUAAUACAGGUAAAUUUUGUGCCACAGAGAUUUGGUGUACAGAUUUUCUGUCACCUAGACAAUAUGCAUAGUACCCAACUGGUAGUUUUUUGAUCCUCUCCCUCCUUCCGUGCUCCACACUCAAGUAAGCCCUGGUGUUUCUUGUUUCCUUCUUUGUGUCCAUGUGUCCUCAAUGUGUAGCUCCCACUUACAAAGGACAGAAUGUGAUACUUGGUUUUCUGUUCCUGUGUUAGUUGGCUAAGUCCACCAGCUCCAUUCAUGUUGCUGCAAAGAACAUGACUUUGUUCUUUUUUUAUGGCGGCAUAGCAUUACAUGGUGUAUAUGUACUGCAUUUUCCUUAUCCAGUCUACCAUGGGCAUUUAAGUUGAUUUCAUUUCUUUGUUGUGAAUAGUGCUGCAAUGAACAUAUGAUAUGCCUGUAUGUGUCUUUAUAGCAGAAUGAUUUAUAUUGCAUUUGGGUAUAUAACUAAUAAUGCGAUUGCCGGGUUGAAUGGUAAUUCUGUUUUCAGUUAUUUGAGAAAUCACCACACAGCUUUCAACAAUGACUAAACUAAUUUACGUUUCUACCAGCAGUGUAUAAGUGCUCCCUUUUCUAUGCUUGCUAGCAUCUGUUGUUUUUUUUGAAUUUUUAAUAAUAACCAUUUUAACUGGUGUAAGAUGGCAUCUUAAUGUGGUUUUGAUUUGCAUUUCUCUAAUGAUUAGUGAUGUUGAGCAUUUUUUUCAUAUGCUUCUUGGCCACAUGUAUGUCUUCUUUUGGAAAGUAUCUGUUCAUGUCCUUUGCUCACUUUUUAAUAGAGUUGUUUUUUGCUUGUCAAUUUGUUCAAGUUCCUUAUAGAAUCUGGACAUUAGACCUUUGUCAGAUGCAUAGUUUUCAAAUAUUUUCUCCCAUUCUGUAGGUUGUCUAUUUACUCUGUUUGGUAGUUUCUUUUGCUGUGCCGAAGAUUUUUAGUUUAAUUAGGUUACAUUUAGUCAAGUUUUGUUUGUGUUGCAAUUGGUUUUGGUAUCUUUGUCAAGAAGUCUUUGCCAGAGACUAUGUUCAAAAUAGUAUUUUCUACAUUAUCUUCCAGGGUUUUUAUAGUUUUAGGUUUUAUAUUGAAUUCUUUAGUACAUGUUGAAUUGAUUUUUGUAUAUGGUGUAAGGAAGGGGUCCAGUUUCAGUCUUCUGUAUAUGGCUAGCCAGUUAUCUCAGCACCACUUAUUGAAUAGAAAGUCUUUUCCCCAUUGCUUGUUUUUGUCAUCUUUGUGAAAGAUUAAAUUAUUGUAAAUGUGUGACAUUAUUUCUGGGCUCUCUAUUCGAUUAUAGCUCUAUAUGUCUAUUUUUGUAAGUUUUCUUGCUUUGAAGUUUGCUCUACCUGAAUUAAUAUAGCUACACCCACUUUCUUUUGAUAAGUGUUAGUAUGAUAUAUCUUUCUCUAUCUAUUUACUUUUAGUCUAUAUGUAUCUUUUCCAUUAAAGUGAG